UGGGGUAUAGCCAAGCGGUAAGGCAACGGACUUUGACUCCGUGAUUUCGCUAGUUCGAAUCUAGCUAUCCCAA
rnacentral:tRNA from 1 species